rnacentral:rRNA from 1 species
UACGUAGGUAGCGAGCGUUGUUCGGAGUUACUGGGCGUAAAGCGUGCGUAGGCGGUGUCUUAAGUUUGUUGUGAAAUCUCCCGGCUUAACCGGGAGGGUGCGGCGAAUACUGAGAUGCUGGAGUGCCGGAGAGGUAAGCGGAAUUCCUGGUGUAGCGGUGAAAUGCGUAGAUAUCAGGAGGAACACCUGCGGUGUAGACGGCUUACUGGACGGUAACUGACGCUGAGGCACGAAAGCGUGGGUAGCAAACAGG